ensembl:lncRNA MIR663AHG MIR663A host gene
GACCGCGAACGCUCAAGGUUGCCGCACGCAGGUUUUUCCUGGUACCACAGGCCCCCUCCCUUCCCCAGGCCUCCCUGAGCGCCUCUGCGGGCCCCUCGGGCCCCACGAGGGGCGGCUGGCGGGUGGGGAGUGUGACCCAUCCUCGGUGAGAAAGCCUUCUCUAGCGAUCCAAGAGAAAUACUAGGCUUUAGAAUUUCACCAUAUGAAUUUUGGGAGAGAGGAGCACAGUUCAGCCCAUAACUAACACACGACGGAAUGAAGUUGAUAAUAGUGAGACCUUGUUGGUACAAGACUAUGUAACAUAACCUGCGCUUCUCAACAAAGAAUUGCUUUUCUGACUUCUGCACUCAAUAGCAAGACAAAUCUCUCCUCUGCCUUCUCCUUAUCAGACUACUCAACAUGAAGGCAAUAAGAAUGAAGACCUCUAUGUAUAAUAAUUGACUUCCACUUAAUAAAUAAGGUUACUUGGUACACUGGUCGACAAAACCUUGAAAUGUUGAUGUUUAAGGGCUGUUGAUUGCUGGCAGCAAAGAAGUCCAACUGUGCUGGUACCCGAGAUAGCGUCUCCACAUUUUCUUCCAGGAUCAUCACCUUUGUUCUAAAUAGCUCCCACAUAGUGUGAACAGAAGUCAUAUGUUUUAGAUUUUCUGCCUUGGCACCCAGGAAACCAGUAUGAUUGAGUAAACAUAUUAAACUUCCUCUGCAUUUCCAGCCUGAACAGAUGUUGAGUACAAGCUGAUCCACCUACGUUCAACCUGAGAGAGUCCACAUCCACAGACUGUUUCAUUUCCCUUUUUCAAUUUACAUAGAAGCAUAGAUUCUUGCUGGCAUAUACAAAUGCGCCAUUUAAGGCAAUCAAAAAUGGUUCCACAUCUCAUCUGAUUUCCACAAUUGUUGCUGUAACGAUGGACUACUGAGGAGAGAGACAAUUUCUCUGGCACAUCUUCCCACAUUUUAGCAACAUGUUCAUGGAGAGCCAAUAUUCAGUAAUUACAGCCCAAUUCCUCACAAUUUCACAAUUCGCUAACAAUAUGCAUUUUCACAAUGUAAAGCUGAUUUUCCUUUAACCAAAUCAAACAUGAAAAGAUAGCUGCAUGCAAUGGGCAAUCUAGAUCAUUAGAAGAUUGAUGUAAAAUUAGAGGACACUGAGACUGGAAUAGAUUGCAAACUUCAGGGAGCUCAGAAAACUUGUAAACUCUACAUUUUGAGGAAAUAUGUUGUCGAUGCUUUUGCAACUCUAUGCAGUAACUUAACAAAUAAAGCCUUAAAGUAACUUA